rnacentral:tRNA from 2 species
GUCCCCGUAGCUCAACUGGAUAGAGCGUUGCCCUCCGGAGGCAAAGGUUACGUGUUCGAAUCACGUCGGGGAUA